rnacentral:rRNA from 1 species
CUUUACUGUAGCUUUGCAUUGGACUUUGACGGGACUUGUGUAGGAUAGGUGGGAGGCUGUGAGACGUGGUCGCCAGAUCACGAGGAGCCAUCCUUGAAAUACCACCCUGGUGUCGUUGAGGUUCUAACCUAGGCCCGUGAAUCCGGGUCGGGGACCGUGCAUGGCAGGCAGUUUGACUGGGGCGGUCUCCUCCUAAAAGGUAACGGAGGAGUUCGAAGGUUCGCUUGGUACGGUCGGACAUCGUACCUAAAGUGCAAUGGCAAAAGCGAGCUUGACUGCGAGACUGACACGUCGAGCAGGUGCGAAAGCAGGACAUAGUGAUCCGGUGGUUCUGUAUGGAAGGGCCAUCGCUCAACGGACAAAAGGUA